UGGGGAAUUUUGCACAAUGGGGGAAACCCUGAUGCAGCGACGCCGCGUGAUUUAGAAGGCCUUCGGGUUGUAAAAAUCUUUUGUAUGGGAAGAAAAUGACAGUACCAUACGAAUAAGGACCGGCUAAUUACGUGCCAGCAGCCGCGGUAAUACGUAAGGUCCGAGCGUUGUCCGGAAUCAUUGGGCGUAAAGGGUACGUAGGCGGAUAAGCAAGUUAGAAGUGAAAUCCUAUAGCUCAACUAUAGUAAGCUUUUAAAACUGCUCAUCUUGAGGUAUGGAAAGGAAAGUGGAAUUCCUAGUGUAGCGGUGAAAUGCGCAGAUAUUAGGAGGAAUACCGGUGGCGAAGGCGACUUUCUGGCCAUAUACUGACGCUGAGGUACGAAAGCGUGGGUAGCAAACAGG
rnacentral:rRNA from 1 species